CGAAGCUGUCGGCGGCGGCCACCAGCGCCUGCAGCCGCUGGUGGCGGCUGGCGUGCGCGGCGGGGUCGUCCUCGUCGGUAUCGGC
rnacentral:tRNA from 1 species